rnacentral:rRNA from 1 species
ACGCUCGACACCUAGGAGGCAGCAGUGGGGAAUAUUGCACAAUGGGGGAAACCCUGAUGCAGCAACGCCGCGUGAGUGAAGAAGUAUUUCGGUAUGUAAAGCUCUAUCAGCAGGGAAGAUAAUGACGGUACCUGACUAAGAAGCUCCGGCUAAAUACGUGCCAGCAGCCGUAGGUAAUCUGAGGCGGGCUGGACAAGGC